rnacentral:lncRNA from 1 species
UAAAACCUUAGUUAUUUAACAUAAUUGUGAAUGUUUUGUGCUAAAAAAUAACUAAAAUUAACGAUAUUUAUUUGUAUUUUAAAAUUUAUUUAAUCAUUUGUUGGAUAUGAGGAUCGUCUGGUGAAUUAUAGCUGAAUUUGUGAUAAAGUUACGCAUCUCUUUUGUAUCAAAAAUAGCUAAUAAUUGUUAGUGAAAAUUUUCAGAUGUCGUCAAAUAUUUUUCCUGAGGAUGGAAUGGAAUUUUAGGCGAUGAAGAAGAGAGGGGUUCAGAAAUUUCAAAUAUUAUAAACGGUUUGUCGGUGCCACUGCCAAGCAAAGUAUUUAUGAUACCCAACUGCCAAGCCAACCAAGAAUAGGAGAGUCUGCGUUUACAAUGCCAGCAGAUCCAAAAAGAAAAAAGUUUGGACGAAGGCUCUUUAAUUGGAUCAUAGGAAUUCCUUACAGAGAAAUAUCCCGAUUUUGUAAAAACUAUUACAUUGUUAAAUAAAUAUUAUGAAGUUAUA